CAUGCUGUUCGGCUAAAGUUCUUUCAAUGUGCAGCCAUAUUUUAGUGAAUGUUGUGAUACCUCCUGCUGCAGAUUUCAAAACAGGAAUUCUUGAACACCAUCCAAGGCAAUAUGUUGCUCUAAGAUUGAUGUAUUUUGGACAAAGGUUUUAUGGUUUUGCCUCUGAAGCACAAUUGGAUCCAACUGUCGAGUCUGAAAUUUUAAAGCUCUUGAGAAGACUAAGCUUUUAGUUGGUGACAAGAAAAAGUCACAGUACUCAAGAUGUGGCAGAACAGACAAAGGAGUUUCAUCUUUUGGACAAGUCAUUUCCCUGUUUCUACGAUCAAACCUGCGACCUAAGAACACAGAUGAUGCAAACAAUUGGGGACUUUCUAUAGAUAGAGAUGUCUUAGACGCGGAAAUUGAUUAUGUGAGAGUGUUGAAUCGAGUCUUACCCAAAGAUAUCCGAGUAACUGGCUGGUGUCCUGUUCCAAUUGAUUUUAGUGCAAGGUUUAGCUGUAUGAGCAGGGAGUACAAAUAUUUCUUUUGGAGAGAUAAUUUGGAUAUUAGGGCAAUGGAGAGUGCAGGCCAAAAGUUUGUGGGGGAUCAUGAUUUCAGAAAUUUU